GCGGAUGUAGUUUAGUGGUAAAACGCCAGCUUCCCAAGCUUGAGUUAGGGGUUCGAUUCCCCCCAUCCGCU
rnacentral:tRNA from 2 species